UUUUUCACAGGGGAGACAUCUUGAUCAGGCAGGUGGAUUUCCCAGGGUAAGGCUCAUUCCCUGCACUCAAGGUGCGCUGACCGGUGCGAUUCCCUCAAAUGCAGGAAAUUCAGCUGCAUAAUUUGUGGUAGUGGGGAACCGCAUUCAUGCUCUCACCUG
rnacentral:snRNA from 1 species